AAACAAAAUGUUUAAC
rnacentral:sRNA from 1 species